GUAGGGAAUAUUGGGCAAUGGAUGCAAGUCUGACCCAGCCAUCCCGCGUGCCGGAAGAAGGCCUUCGGGUUGUAAACCGCUUUUGUCAGGGAAGAAAUCCUUUGGGUUAAUACCUCGGAGGGAUGACGGUACCUGAAGAAUAAGCACCGGCUAACUACGUGCCAGCAGCCGCGGUAAUACGUAGGGUGCGAGCGUUAAUCGGAAUUACUGGGCGUAAAGCGUGCGCAGACGGUUAUAUAAGACAGAUGUGAAAUCCCCGGGCUCAACCUGGGAACUGAAUUAGUGACUGUAGAUCUGGAGUGCGGCAGAGGGGGAUGGAAUUCCGCGUGUAGCAGUGAAAUGCGUAGAUAUGCGGAGGAACACCGAUGGCGAAGGCAAUCCCCUGGGCCUGCACUGACGCUCAUGCACGAAAGCGUGGGGAGCAAACAGGAUUAGAAACCCCAGUAGUCC
rnacentral:rRNA from 1 species